AAGUCGUAACAAGGUUUCCGUAGGUGAACCUGCGGAAGGAUCAUUAUCGUAGUGAUUGUAGUGGGACUUGGGGACUUGGCAUUGGGCCUUUGGGUCCCAUUUGUCCCCAUUUUGGCCCUUUUGGGCCAUUGGUCGCAUUGCGUCCCCGCAUCGGCCCCCAAAGUCCCAAUUUUUCCCCUUUUAACCCAAAACCCACCUUGGUUGGCCAACCCUUUCCCUUUGUGAGAAUGGGGAGAGAAAGGGCUUGCCUCUUUUAUCUCGUCUCAUGAUUCAUAAACGCUGUUUGUAAUGUUGAAUGCAUUUAUGCCGUCAAGGCUUUAACCUAAUACAA
rnacentral:misc_RNA from 1 species